GACAGCGGCACGGACUUGGUCUUGGUGGCGAGUGGCGAACGGGUAGGUAAUGUAUGUGGUGGCUAAUGGCGGGGGGAUAACUACGCAGCGUGGCUAGCCGCAUACGCCACAGCGCCUAAAAGGGAAGCGGGACCUUCGGGCCUCGCACUAUUAGAGCGGCCGAUGGAUUAGCAGUUGGUGCGAUGGCGGCUCUCAAGGAAGGCGACGAUCGUAGCUGGUUUGAGAGGACGACCAACCAUGGGACUGAGACACGGCCCAGACUCCUACGGGAGAGCGUGAGUGGGGAAUUUUGGACAAUGGCGGAAACUGGUCAGCCAUCCGCGUGUGCGAUGAAGGCCGCUGAGUUUAUUACGCUUUGCGGCAGGAAAGAAACGGCACCUGGAUAAUACUUGCGUGCAACUGACGUUCCACCGGAAGAUAAGCACCGGCUAACUACGUGGCAGCAGCGCGGUAAGCACGUGGGGGUUACUGUGGCGUUAAUCGGAAUUACUGGGCGCUAAAGCGUGCUGACGGUUCGGAAAGAAAGGUCGUCGAGCUUAUACUUUGGAGCCAUUUUUAACUACCGAGCUAGAGAGUGUGUCAGAGGAGGUGAAUUCCGCGUGUAACAUUAAAGGAAAUGCGUAGCGAUGCCCGGAGAACACCGAUGGCGAAAAGCAACCUCCUGGGAUAACACUGACGCUCCUUUUAGCAAUAAGAGGUGACCAGGAUUCGUUCUCCCUGGUAGUCCACGCCCUAAACGAUAAUCGGCAUAGCUGUUCGGAGGCCGGCUUCGGGCCUUAGUGGCGCAGCUAACGACGAAGUUGACCGCCUGGGGAGAUACGGUCGCAAGAUUAAAACUCAAAGGAAUUGACGGGGACCCGCACAAGCGGUGGAUGAUGUGGAUUAAUUCGGUACUUUUAAUGCCGCUACCCUUGACAUGUCUGAAUCCCGAAGAGAUUUGGAGAUGCUCGCAAGAGAACCGGAACACAGGUGCUGCAUGGCUGUCGUCAGCUCGUGUCGUGAGAUGUUCGGUUGAUCCCGCAACGAGCGCAACCCUUGUCAUUAGUUGCCACGAAGGGCACUCGUGGAACUGCAGUGACAGCGGAGGAAGGUGGGAUGACGUCAAGUCCUCAUGGCCCGCUUGUUGGGCUUCACACGUCAUACAAUGGUCGGGACAGAGAUUCGCCAACCCGCGAGAGGCCAAUCCCAGAAACCCCGAUCGUAGUCUGGAUCGCAGUCUGCAACCUCGACUGCGUGGAAGUGAAUCAUGUGUCGGAUCGGCAUGUCGCCACGGGCUGAAUACGUUCCCAGGUCUUGUACACACACCCGCCGUCACACCAUGAGUGGUUUUACCAGAAAGCGUUAGCCUAACCGUAAGGAGGGCGAUUACCACGGUAAGUUCACUUAGCUGGGUGAAGUCUAUUAUUUCAAGUGG
rnacentral:rRNA from 1 species